UAUCCCAGAAAAAGCAGCUACCGCUUCCAUUCCGUGGUUUUGGAAUCGCCAUUUCCAAAGUUCUCUUUAUCUCUUCGAUCGAUCCUCAGCUAUGGCCACCACUACGACGGCGCAGCAGAAUCCAGAUAACCAUAUGAAAACUCUAGAUGAGCCGUCAGAUCCCAAGCCAUCGGCUGAAAGCGUAUCUCCUCCCGAUUCCGCACCCGACUCGCCGAAAUCACCACCAACCGAUGGUGCCAAAGAGGAAAUCAAGGCGGCGGGAGGAGAUGACAGUUGUCAGGGUAAUGAUAUUCAGAAGAAGAUGAAACGAGCGGAGCGGUUCGGAAUGCCUGUUAAGUUAUCCGAAGAAGAGAAGCGAAGUUCCCGAGCUGAGAGGUUUGGCACUGGAUCACCAGUUCAAGGGUCAGAUGCUUUAAAGAAAUCCGAGGAGCAUAAGAGGCAGGCUAGGGCCGAGAGGUUUGGGAUUGUGAAAUCUGACACAACUGAUGAGGAGGCUAAGAAGAAGAAGGCUAGGUUGACAAGGUUUGCGCUUCCAGGGAAGGCUGAUCCAGUGGAGGAAGAUAAAAGGAAAGCUAGGGCUCUCAGGUUUUCACAACCCCAGCCUGGUUCACAACCACAAGCAAAUGGCAAAGGAAAUAUUGAGCAGGAAGCUGUUGCUGCGGACAAGGCUGGAGAACCUGAAUGAUUCCAAACUUCAUUAACGAGUUGGUGGGCUUGGAUACUAAAGUUUUUGACCUUUCUUUAGCUUAUAUAAAUUUUGGCUUUCGAUUACUGCACAAAAGGCUUUUCUGGUCUUCCUAAAAUAGCAUACUAUGUGUUUCUGGAGAGCACUAGGAUAAUUGACAACCACCUCCUUGGCAUCAAACUACCGGAAAUGACCCAUGAUCAAUAUUAAAAAUGAUGAAACUACGACCAAAGUAUCCUUGGAAGGGUUUGAUUUGACGACUUCAUCUUCAAUCUCUCAGUUAUUAAUCUGCAAUAUGUGUCACAUUUAUAUUGUAGUGCAUUGCCCUUAAACAUAGUAAAAAUAUAGACUCCUGUUGCAUGUCAAGGAUCAACCAAUGCUAGAUUUUUUGUUUCGACUUAUCCAAGUGGUUCAUAGUAGAUAAGAGAUUGCUUGAUGUUAAAACUUAAAUGUUCCCCAUGGUUAGAAGUUUUCAUUGAUUUGGCUAUUUAAUAUAACCUUAUUGACCCUUCAUAACUCUAAUAGCUGAAGUGGGAUGUGUAGUGCAUGUUGUGUUCUCUAGCAGAUAAGCAUUUGUCGUGCUUUUAAAGAUCCAAGAAAUCUGUACUUCUCUUUGAUGCAUCAUAUCGUUUGGCCAUGCUAAAUUUGAUCUU
rnacentral:misc_RNA from 1 species